rnacentral:rRNA from 1 species
AGUAGGGAAUCUUCGGCAAUGGGGGGAACCCUGACCGAGCAACGCCGCGUGAGUGAAGAAGGUUUUCGGAUUGUAAAGCUCUGUUGUAAGAGAAGAACGAGUGUGAGAGUGGAAAGUUCACACUGUGACGGUAUCUUACCAGAAAGGGACGGCUAACUACGUGCCAGCAGCCGCGGUAAUACGUAGGUCCCGAGCGUUAUCCGGAUUUAUUGGGCGUAAAGCGAGCGCAGGCGGUUAGAUAAGUCUGAAGUUAAAGGCUGUGGCUUAACCAUAGUACGCUUUGGAAACUGUUUAACUUGAGUGCAGAAGGGGAGAGUGGAAUUCCAUGUGUAGCGGUGAAAUGCGUAGAUAUAUGGAGGAACACCGGUGGCGAAAGCGGCUCUCUGGUCUGUAACUGACGCUGAGGCUCGAAAGCGUGGGGAGCAAA